rnacentral:antisense_RNA from 1 species
AAAUUACAAAAUGCGAGAGUAUGGCAGAAGUAACAAUAAUAUAAAUUUUCGUAAAAAAUGUUUCAUAUCCAGACACAAAUUCCUCAAAUUAAAUAUCUAGUAGUUCAGUUACAUUCAAGCAAAACUGGCAUGUAUAGUAUUCGCCUUGAAGACAUAAUUUCUCAAAAAUGGAAACUGAAGAACUCAGACCCUUUCCAUCUUGCAUGCGAGCUUGAUUAGUCAUUUCUGUUGGGACAAAAAUUACUUUCCCGCAAAAAUUGCAUGAAAGAUGUUUGUAUAUGGCAAAAACAUUUAUCGGAAGGAAGGUAAUUGGACAAAUUGGGACUGAAGAUACACAGUCAUCUUUAAAGUUAGGGUAAGAGCUUGAACUUGAGCUACUAGUAUUCGAUGUCUCAGAAUUCGUUAAUUCCUCAUGAUUAUUUAAGCAAUGGUAGAAAUUGUAAGGCGACUCUGAAACUAAACAACAGGAAUUAUUGAUCAAAUCUUGAAAGUAUUUUUCCAUAUUUUUGUCUGAGAGGGAAAUUUGAGAUAAAUCAAUUGGCUCAAAUUCUUUUAUACAAUUCCAAAUAUACUUUAAUCUAGCAGGAACAACCGAUUCGCCCUGCAUUUCAAUGGAACCCAACUGAUAUACUUGAGUUAUUUGAAGUUGAAUGUAAUACUGAAGCUUGACUAAAUAUCUGGAAAUCUGUUCCUCGCGUCUAAUUACUUGGGAUUCAAUAGUUUCGUUUGAACGAGAAUAUAGCAAGAGUACCAAACAUCUCAGGGAGUUUAAGAUUCUAAUCAAGUAUAUGAUUUUGAAAAGCAGAGAUAGAAUGGAUUUUUUGCUAAAGCUAGAGCUAUUAAGCUCUUUAUGAGGAAAAUUGGGAAAGGAUGCUGCUUGAUUUAGUGUCUUUAUAAGGAUUUCAAAACUACUUCUUUUAUCCAUACAACUGAUGGGAAUAUAUUCCAAAGACUUUGGUAUAUAUGGCUCAAUUUCAACAAUAUAACAGAGAAUAAGCAGAAUUAAGUUGGAAAAGACAGGCUUGGAUAUAUGUAAACACCCGAUAAUAUCAUCUGGAAAUUCAUCUUCAACAAAGUUAUAAGAAAUAGCUUCUUUAAUCAGUUCAGAAGGUGUGUUUUCGUAGAAUAAUGAGAGAAAUACAUCCAUAACAUCGUCUGAAUUUUCAUUCAUUGAGUGAUUCUCGCCUUUAGCCUUCAAACUCAGUUUCUCCCCAAGCUUGAAGUUCAAAAAUGAACUAAUAUUCUUAUCAGCAUUUUUUACUGAGCCAUCAUUUUCAUUACUAUUCAUCUCCUUUGAUUGAAUAGAGUCCUCGGGUUCCCUUGAUGUCUUUCCAUCCAUCUCCUCCAAAAGAGGAAUCUUGUUCAUUGUAAGAGGGCCUGUAAGGAUAAGUCUAAUAUCGUUCAAAGUGAAUGCUUGAGAAAUUGCUCUGGAAAGUGGUUCCAGACUUUUUUCGUCGCCCAAACAAGAAUAUGUAUUAAUUAGAGAUUCAGUAUGAAUGAAAUGGUUCGAAAUUCUAUUACAGAUAUAAUCCAUCGGGGAGAAAUUGUUGAAGACAAUAAUCAGACGAAUAGUAUUUAAAGUUGCCGAGUUAAUUACAGCGAUUGAGAAAUUAUGGAGACUUUUUUUAUUAAAGCUGUAAAACUGUCCAGGUACCAAAGGAUUCUCAAAAGAAAUCAAUUUAAAGUCAUUGGAAUCUUUUAUUGACUUUAUACUUGAAGGCACGUUCUGCAAACUCUCAAAAGAAAAGCUCUUAUUUGAGUUUUGACUGGCACCUUCUAUAUCAUAACUAGAGCUAUCUGAGCUUUGGUCCAAACUUGGGAAAACAGAUGGGGCACUAAUUAACUUAUCCAUUGUGAAGGCCUGGAAUGAAAUGAACGAUUUGUUUUCUAGAUCAACAAUAUGCAGAAUUCCAAGUCCACUUUGAUCUACAGUUAAGAAUGCCGUCUCAAAUAAUUCACCCUUAUAUAUAAUAUCCUCCAUGUACUUUGCAGUUUUAAUAGGCAUUUGGUGACUGAUUAUGAAGCUAUCACUAUUUGGUUUGAGGAUUUCGCAGCUCAUUUUCUCAAUAUCAACUUUUCCUAAGAAUAAGUUUGUGCCUUCUGAAGCAAUAAGCGUGUGUUCUUUCUUAUUUUCAACAUUUGAAACAGAUUUGUAACAUAACUUGGCAAUCGGAACGCUGGGGUAGCUUUUGUUUAUUAAAUUAUACCCCAAACAUUUAAUAACUCCAGAUUCUUCUAAUAGAGAAAACUUAAAUAUAUGGAUUUUUCCUUCCGAAGAACCGGUAUAAAUUUCAAAGAAUAACUCUUUACCUAAAGACCAAAAUUCACUAAUUAAGCAACUUGUUACUAUUUCAUCCACUUUUUUACCUGGAAUUCGAGUCAAAAUUAAUGGUCUGCAACUAACCUUCGGUACUGUUGGGAAUGAUACAGAUAAAUCUUCCUGAUCUUUGCUUAGAAUUCUGUUAAUGCUAUCUCUACAGCUUUCUUUGGGAUUUUCAGAAAUCUCAAAUGCAUAAAUAACAAGGAACUCAUUCCAACAAGCCGUAAAAAGAAUGAGUCCAUUGUCUUUGAAAGAUAAUUCACUCAUUUGAACUGAUAAUAUACAAGAAUGAAUUAUUGGGGAAUCUGUAUUCAACAUAAGAUCAUGGCAAAAAUUUUGAGAUAUUUCUCCUUUAACAGUCUCCAUGGUAUCAAAAUCAAAUUCAAAAAAUUCACAAUUGGUCUCAUUUAUUAGGCUUUUAUACAAUAAAUCGAUUAGUUCAAAACAAGGUGUUGGAGAGUAGCCUGGAAGCGAGUAUGAAUCAAUAUUUGGAACGAGCCAUAAGUGAACUAAUCCAUUAUUAAGAACAGAAAAAAGAACUGACCACCUAUUUUGAGUAUAUGGACCCCAUUGAAGAUCAUUCACAAAUACAGAUUUGACUCCAACCCUAUAGAUCAUAUUUGAAAAGUCAUAAUCUUGUGGCUUACCUACCUUAAAGUCUUUCCAGGCUCGUAUGUUUUUGGUUUCACCUUGAAUAUCAAUAACAAGUCUGUUGAAAGUAUUGGAUCUCAACAUAAAGUUACCAUUAUUCCCAUCAAUCAUCGAGUUUAUAUCAAAUAUUAUUAUUUUUGAACUGAUACUAUAUGCAAAAUACCCGAUACUAUUUGAACUUGAAGUAAUAUUGCUUCCUGUAGAGGAGAAAAAGCGUUUAAGGGACCAAACAUUCAUCAUUAUUAGUUAAAAAUUAAAUAUUAGGCUUCAUUACUUGCAAGAUUAAGGAAAAUUAAUUCAAACAAAUAAGAUUCUUUGAAAAUGUCAAUUUUAAAAAUAAUAGUCAGAAAUUCCCCGCAAUUUGUGGGUAUCCCGAGUUGAUAAUUAUAUACGAAAUCUAAAAAUGGAAAUAAAAUAAAUAUUUCAAUAUAAUAAAGAAAAAACAAUAUUUCGAUAAAUUAAAUAGUUAGAAAUAAAUUAAACAAUUAUAUGCCGAACUAAAAUUCAAUGGAUUUUGUUAAACAUGUAUUGUUGCUUGGAAGAAUAGAAGACAAAGGAUGAAAAUAAGAACUUAUAUUUGAUAAACUGUCAAUUUUAUCAGUAUUUUGGAUUUGAAGUUUUUGAAAUUUGUCAUAAUAAUUAAUUGGAGAUGAGUUCCAAGAUAGCUUAAUCAAGUUUGGGAAUCUAUUAACAUCCAAGAAAUUAAUUCUUUUAAGCUUCUUUUCAGUACUAUAUAUAAAGAAAUCAAAUGAGAGCUGGUAAUAAACAUAGAAUAUAUCCGAAUCCAAAGAUUGGAUUAAGAAAGAAGAAAGAGGGUUAAUUUGAUGAGAAAAUUCCAAAUCCCAAAGUGUACAUUUCUUAUAAUUAUAAAUAAUAACCUGAUUUUGUAUACCGUGAGAAUCUUGAGAGUUUUGACGUAUUACUUCAAUCCUUUUAAGUGUAAUAUGAAUUUCUUGAGAUUUCCAAUAUGAUUUGAAGAAAUCAAAGUGAACAAUUAUUGGGUUUGAAGAAGACCAUGAAUUAGAAUUUGAAAUUCUGCAUAUUGCAACUAAUUCAUUUUUGUAAUUAAUAUUAAGGAUUUCAUUAUUAUUGGAGUUAUUAAAGUCUAGAGGAGCUGAAUAAAUGAUUUGAUCAUUUUUUAAGUUUUCAGGUGAGUGAAUAAUGGAAACUUCAUUUUCCCAGUAUACUUCAAGAAGAGAUUUUGGGCAUGCAUUAAGAUAAGAGUAUAUUUCAAUAUUAUCAUGGAGUUCAAAAAAUCUCAUUUUUGUAAUAUCUAAUUCACUCUGGGAUUGUAUUGCUUUUAAAUGGAAAGAUUUUCUUUGGAAUUUACUGUUCAAAUGAUCCAAGAUAAUUUUUGGAUUAUUACCAGAUGCACUUAGAAAUUCAAUCUCAGAAACUUCACAAAAAUUACUAUAAGGUGUAGUUGUUACAAUGGAUAGAAUUUUUUCAGAAGAGUUAGUUAUUACGGAGUUAAUAUCGUCAAUAGGAAUUGAAUGGUAAAAGUUAUUGUUUAAUGCAGUAAUUGGAUGAUAUGUCCCAGAUCUUUUUAUUGGAGAGAAAAUGAGUCCCGAGGAUUUUGGAUGCGGCCCUAAACAUUUUAUAUCAAACUUAAGCUUUUUUUGAAAAGUUGGAAUUGUGCUUUUUAAGGAUUUGUUUCCUUUAUCUUGGUUUGUUCCACCCAAUGUUUGAAUAAAUUCAAAAUUAAAUAAUUGAUUUGGCCUAUCUGGUUUCAUCUUGUUAUUAAUUCCUAUACUAACUAAGGCAGUGUAAUUGAAAGAAAUGAGUUUUCCAGUAAAAGUUGGAGGAAUAAAUGGAGGAAGAAAACAACUAUACGUGAAGGUUCCAAUUUCAUCUUUUGAUUUAGAAAUUUUUACAUCGCUUACUAAUAUAUGUGGGUUACUUACAAAUAUAGGUUUGUUUUUUUGGUUACCUUGUCUUCCAGUUAUUCCCAGUCUGUCAAGCCUUGAAGUUAUGUUAAAUAUAUUGGAGAUGAAUUGAUUGAUUGAAGACGAAGAAGUUGUAGAUGAUACAAAGAAAUUGUUAUUAGAAUUUAUAAAAUUUAACAACUCGUUAGAAAAUGAAGCAUAGCCAAAUAGUUGGAUGGUAAUAUAAUCAAGCAGUUCAUAAUUUUCCAAAGCUUCAUUUUGCUGGGUAAAUCUUUCAUAAAAUACUUUUAAGCUACAUCGUAUUUUCUCAGAACUGUAAUAAUAUGGUUGAUCAAAACAAAUCUGCACAGUAUAUUUAGUUGUGUCUGAAUAUACACUUGUUUCUCGAAACAUAUCAAAUUUAGGCUUCUCUUGGGCUCAUUGAAUAAAUAAUUAUUGGAAAUAAGCUUUUUUGAAAUAAUAAUUAUCCUUGUGGCUAUUAUUAAUUCUAACCCGUUACAAAUUGUUGGCAAAAAAAAGAUUCUAUUCUUCAAAUUUAGUAUACUCUAAGUCAUUAAUUACAAAGAAUUAAGAAAUUUACAGGAUAAAUAUUUGCAAGUAAAUUCCUUUUUACUUCAUUAAUUCAUCUAAGUCAUAAAGAAAAUAGAUUUAUGGAAAUUGCAUGCAUUGGCGGCAGAAUUUGCGCGCCACUAGCAUGUCUGUGCAUGCCUAACCGUUAAUAUAAGUCUUGAGUAAAAAGUCAAAUGGGAGGGGGGAAAGGAAAUUAAAGUAUUAGAAGUAGAUAAAACAAAUGUAAUGUUCAGCAAGCAUUUAAGGUUAAAAAAUGUAUAACUUACAAAAAUCAGGGUUAUAAUUGAAAAGAAAGAAGAUUUAAAUGGUAAUAUUAAAGAGUAAUAUAUAAUAAUUAGUUCUGAUUGAGAAGUUUAUCUAUCGCUCUAUUAAUACUUCCAUCAGAUUCAGUAAGGGCUUUAAUGCAUGCCUCAGUAUCAGUAAACCCCAUAUUGGAAAGGACUUCAAGUUGGUAAUUAUAAUUCUGCCCUCCAUUAUCAUUUCCAUUAUUGGAAGCGCCAUUUUGGUUAUUUAUAUUACUUAAGUUUCCUGAGUCAUUAUUCUGCAUAGAAGGACUUCCUGCAUUAAUCAUAUUGAGCAAGUUACCAAGAUUUGCAUUUCCGAUUCCUUGAGAAAUAUUUCCAAUAUUGGUAUUUGCACCUCCAUUCCCAAUAAAUUCGUUGAAUUGGUUCUGAAGUGCAUCAUCUCUACUAUUAAUGUCCAUAUUUCUCAUUGCAUCAAUAACAGUUUGAAUUGUAUUUGGAUUACUAUUAGCAAAUGGAGAAUAUAAAUUCAUCAGAUUGGGAAGCUGUGGAGUUGUUUGGGAAUUGUUAGUAUUACUAUUAAUAGUAGUAUUAUUGUCUGUACUUGUAUUGGAAUUUGAAGCAUUAUUUUGGCUUAUAUUGGGAUUCAAGAUCCCCAAAUUUGCUAGAUUUCCAAAAUUGGGGAUAUUACCAAAGUUUCCAAGACCUGCAAAUCCUGGUAGUAAUAAGUUGCUAUUUACGUUAUUAUCACUAUUGGAGUUACCAUCAUUACGAUUAUUGGUGGAAUUUCCAACCCCAAAGUUGAAAGGAAAUAGAUUUAGUGGUGGUUGUCUUCGCCCUGAAACGUCUUGGCCAAAACUUCCAAAUAUAUCAGCUGGGGAUGAGGAACCAAUAUUAUUGCUAUUACUACUAUUAUUACUGGAAUUCCUAUUAAUACUCCAAGGGUUUGGUAAGGCUUCCGAGUUUGGUCCAGAACUUUUAUCUAUAUUAUAUUCAUUAUAAGUGUUUGCUUUAAUAGUGUUUGGGUUAUACAUUGCAGCAUCCCACAUCGGUUCUUGAACUGUAUGGUACAUUCUUUUAAGUGCACUAAAUCCUCCAGGAAUACUUUCUAUAUUGCUAAUUGCCCUAUCCGAGUUUCUCAUCAUUUCUUUCAUGAGUUCUGGGUUCUUCAAAACAUCAACAGACAUCUGUAGGAAUUGGGGAUCGUUAAAAAUGUGAUUAAGUUCAGGGUUCUGCUCUCUUAGAGCUUUAAGCUGAGGGUUCGAUUCUAACAUCACUCUAAAUAUUUCCGGGUCAUUUAGUAUACUUUGCAUCCAAGGUGAUGCAAGAGCUGAAGAAAGAAAGUCAUCCGUAUCUGAUUCACCAAAUAGUCCUCCAGAAUCUGCUUGUAUGCUAGAGCUUGAGUUAGAGCUGACUCCAGUUCUUUGUGAAGAUGAAUUUGAGCUUCGUGAUGGAGAACGAGCAAGAAUUAAAGUACUAUUAUCUUCAAUUCCAUAACUACUUAAUAAAGCAUUAUUUGAAAGUAUUUUGUCCUUCCAAACAAGUCUUAUUUCAAAAACUGGAAUACUACAAAUAUUACUUAUGAUUUCUUUGAGUUUCAAUACUGAAGUUUUUUUCGCAUCAAUUUUUCCUGGAACUUUAAUUAUAUCGCCAUUCAACAAUUUCAC